rnacentral:rRNA from 1 species
UACAGAGGUCCCAAGCGUUGUUCGGAUUUACUGGGCGUAAAGGGAGCGUAGGUGGCAAAUUAAGUCUGAUGUGAAAUCUCUGAGCUUAACUCAGAAAUGGCAUUAGAUACUACUUUGCUUGAGGAUUGGAGGGGAGAUUGGAAUUCUUGGUGUAGCAGUGAAAUGCGUAGAAAUCAAGAGGAACACCAGUGGCGAAGGCGAAUCUCUGGACAAUUCCUGACACUGAUGCUCGAAAGCUAGGGGAGCAAACGGG